CCGUGUAUUUUAUGUUGUGUUUUGGAAUUCUGAUUAUUUUUGAAUAGUAGUUUUUAAGCUAAACUUUGAAUAGUGAUUAAAAGUAAAGAAGAUUAGCCAAAAAAUUGAUCUUGACUUACUCCUUGUUAAAAUGUGAGUUAUCGUAACUGAUGAAAUUUCUGAAUGCUUGAAAAUUUCGAGCAUUUUAUUUAAAAUUUAAAUGAACUUUACAGAUUGACAGUAAAACCGAAUGAAUUUACUUUUUCCGUUUUCAUACUCUUACCGUCAGUAUUUAACGGAAACUGAAUAUUUAUAUUUUUGAAGGAUUUAGCUAUAAUUUUUGUGUCUUUAUAGACACCACAGGAGUACGGUCUGGAUUAUUUGGUUAUAGGAAAGCCCAAAAAGACUGUCUGCGAGAAGCAAUACCUUCACAUACUGUCUAGGGAAAGCCGGCUUAUAUUUAUGUUGCAUAUGGACAAAAUCGUUUAAAGUUCAGUGGAAAUGUUUUUCUGGUCAUCUUGACUGUUAUUUGCCAUUAUGUCAGUUUUGCAACUUGUCUUUUUUACUACUUUUGGCAAUCAUGGGUGAAUCCUAUGGUUUCUCAAUAAAUCUCUUUGAAGAUUUGUUUCAUU